GCGGGAGUAGUUCAGCUGGUAGAACGUCUCGUUGCCAACGAGAAGGUCGCGGGUUCGAUCCCCGUCUCUCGCU
rnacentral:tRNA from 1 species